UGCGGGAUCGUCUAGCGGUAGGACGCCUGGUUCUGGCCCAGGUAGCCGGGGUUCGAAUCCUCGUCCCGCAGCCA
rnacentral:tRNA from 1 species